rnacentral:lncRNA from 1 species
AAUUUUAAAACAAAUAUUUUCAGAAGACAAAAGGAUUGACAUAUUUUGUUUUUUAGUAAUUCUAAGCAGAAAUGUGAAAUUACUUUUUUUUAUUUAUAAUGAUUUUUAUUUUUUCCAAUAUAGUUGAUUUACAGUGUUCUGUCAAUUUUCUGCUGUACAGCAAGGUUACCCAGUUAUACACACAUGCUCACAGAUUCAAUGCAAUCCCUAUCAAAUUACCCAUGAUAUUUUUCAUGAAACUAGAACAAACAAUCCAAAAAUUUAUAUGAAAUCACUUUUAAAAAGGUAGUGAAAACAACUCUUUUCUUGAUAAAAAUACAAUAUUUGUGGAAUGUGGAUCAGUCAUCUUUUCAAAUGUUUCCUCCUGAAUUACCGCAUCAUAAUAAAAUCUGUAUGAUUUCACUCAUUUCAAGUAUAUUUUAUAAGGAAAUGUGGAGAAGGAAUUAAUGAAAAUUUCCUUUCCCAUAGGAGAUAAUUUAAAAAUGUUUAAUGCCGUUCAUUUCAAAUUUAAAUGUUAUUCACAAGACAGCUUUGGAAAUUUUGUACCUCUGAGAAAACUUUUUUUGAGGUUAAAGGAAACAAAACAUUUUUAUUUGCUUUUGAACAGUUAAGUAUGAAUAAACUCUCUUGGUAAGCAACUAUCAUUUAUUUCUAGCAUAUUUUGGUUAGAUACUUGUGAAAAUUAAUGGUAAUUAAUUUCUCCAAACUCUGGGUUUAAACAUUAUCAGAAAUAACUCAAUGUGACUGGAUUAUUGACCCAACCUGCACACCGGAGGCCCCCAGUCCCUUCUCCAGCUUUCUCUAGGUCUGAGUGAGUCCCAGAGGGAAGCAAUGAUUCUUCUUUUGCCCCAUGAGAACCACUUGGGGGCGACAUCUCACCGCAGUCCGAGGUACCUGUGGGCCCUGCCAAAGGGGCGGGUCUUCCAAGCCUUAAAUUGGGAGAAGGCAGCCACCGGCUAAGGGGUUUCCUUUUUGCCAUCUUAGCCCACAGGCAGCUCUUUCUCCCUGUGAAAACAGUUCCUUCACCUUCUGCUUGAGGCGUCUUUCUCUACAGCAGGAUUUUUCCAAACGUGAGCUGAUGGGUUAUGAAACCAAUUUAGUGAGUAAAGAGGGAGUUAUUAAUAAUUACACAGGGACAAUAGGCAACAAACUGGGACUGUCCUGGACAAACCAGGACAUGUACUCACCUGCUAGUUUAAGAUCAGCAUUAAAGAAAAUGAAAUGGAAUCAGAUCAGAACAUAUCAGUGCGAGUAAUAUUUUUUAAAACUUUUGCUGGGAGCAAGUAAAGUGUACUUCUUACUAGAGUCAAGGACAAAAGCUUUUGAAAGCCAACGCUGUAUAGGGUUAAGAUUAGUCUGCCAAUGGGGCUUUGGGGAAAGCCAUUAUGCUUUCAUUCUAGGUGAUUCUCCUCUACUCCAGCCUCCUUCUGCACUAACUAAGGCUCUCAAAUAACAACUCUUACAAUCAAACUCCUCUCACCAGAACCCCAGCAUGGCCUGGAUUAAGCCAAUUUCUCAAAACAUCAGGUCUUUGCUUAUAGUAUCACACUUUUCCUGUCUGAAGUCAUUGAAGAAUAAGAGUUCAUCUAUCGGAGUUCCCUUUGUGGCUCAGCGGUUGACGAACCCGACUAGGAUUUAUGAGGAUUCUGGUUUGAUCCCUGGCCUCACUCAGUGGGUUAAGGAUCUGGCGUUGCCAUGAGCUGUGGUGUAGGUCACAGACAUGGCUCAGAUCUGGCAUUGCUGUAGCUGAGGCAUAAGCUAGCACCCGUAGCUCUGAUUCAACCCCUAGCCUGGGAACCUCCAUAUGUUGUGGGUGCGGCUCUAAAAAGCAAAAAAAAGCAAAAAAACCCCAACAAAACAAAAACAGAAACCUGAAAAACAGUUCAUCUAUCAUAAGGGUAUUUAAAUGUGAACUUUCAUGGAAUAGACACUGACAUAAAUCUAUGUUUUUCUCUGCAAGCUCCUUAAGAGUGAGAGCCUUCUAAGAAAACAGGAGCAACUUGACAGGGAGAGGCCCUCAGUAACUGCUCAUUGAGCUCUGCUGAUCUGAUGCCUGAAUUUUCUUUCCUGCCUUGUCAUUUGAAAACCCGCAUGUUGUUUCUUGGGUGGCGUAACUUCCCUCCUUGUGGACCAGUUUCAGUACUUUUUUUCCUAAGAAGGAUAAGUCUCCAGUAGGAAAAAGUGUAUCCUCUGGAAACAAUACUGCACUGGGGAAAAUUCAGUUAGAGAGUUCACUUAAAGCAGUUGGCACAACGCUGGGUACUGGGGUAUGCUCAUUGACAUUCCCUUUUGCCGUUAUUAUGUAAACAGAGUAAAGACCAAAGAACACAGAAAGAAAAAAUGUUGGCUCCUGGGUCACUUCACAGUAGGAGGCAGGUCCUUUAGUACCUAGUUUGGCAGUUCUGUCUUUUAGGUAAACCAUUAUUGAAUAGAUUUUUAAGUGACAUCAUCAUUCCUCAGGACCCCAACCCGCCCACUUUUGUGUGUCUUCCCAGUGCUCUCUCUGUACCCAGAUGAUGCAGAACAGAUUUUCUGCCAGGUUUCAAGCAAAAGCAGGCUCAUGAUUCCUGAUUCCUCUGAAAUUGCAGUGUCUGUGGUUUAGUUCAGGGGCUCUUAUCCUGGACUUUGUUGCUAGUUUGGGGGAGAAUUAUGGCUUCCAGAGCAGAUAAGCAGAGAUUCUUAGCCUUCGCAAGACUGACAUUGGGUAGGGUCAUUCUUUGUUGGCCUGUGCAUUAUAGGUUUUUUAGCGGCAUCUUUGGCCUCUGUCCACUAGAUGCCAGUAGCAUCCCCCCACCACUGACCUGGAAAUUUUAACAACCCAGAAUGUUUUCCAGAGUUCCUGUCGUGGUGCAGUGGAAACGAAUCCGACUAGGAACCAUGAGGUUGCAGUUUUGAUCCCUGGCCUCACUCAGUGGGUUAAGGAUCCGGCGUUGCUGUGAGCUGUGGUGUAGGUUGCAGACGUGGCUCGGAUCUGGCGUUGCUGUGACUGUGGUGUAGGCUGGCAGCUACAGCUCCUA